GGUGGCCCUGAGGUGCAAAACACAACAGCAAAUCAGAAAACACAACACAAAAGAGAUAACACAACACAAAAGAGAAAACACAACAGCAAAUCAGAAAAAACAACAACAUUAACCAUUGCGUUUUCUCUUUUUGCAUUGUGUUUUCUGUUUUUGUGUUGUGUUUUCUGUUUUGCCGUUGUGUUUUGCACCUCACGGCCAC